AUUUGGCAUUUUAUCACUCAUUUUCUCCCGAUCCCGUUUGAUCUCGGAAGAUAAGCUGCGUCGGGCCCGGUCAGUACUUAGAUGGGUGACCGCUUGGGAACACCGGGUGUUGCAGGCA
rnacentral:rRNA from 1 species